rnacentral:rRNA from 1 species
GCGGGGCUAUACAUGCAGUCGAACGCACAGCGAAAGGUGCUUGCACCUUUCAAGUGAGUGGCGAACGGGUGAGUAACACGUGGACAACCUGCCUCAAGGCUGGGGAUAACAUUUGGAAACAGAUGCUAAUACCGAAUAAAACUUAGUGUCGCAUGACACAAAGUUAAAAGGCGCUUCGGCGUCACCUAAAGAUGGAUCCGCGGUGCAUUAGUUAGUUGGUGGGGUAAAGGCCUACCAAGACAAUGAUGCAUAGCCGAGUUGAGAGACUGAUCGGCCACAUUGGGACUGAGACACGGCCCAAACUCCUACGGGAGGCUGCAGUAGGGAAUCUUCCACAAUGGGCGAAAGCCUGAUGGAGCAACGCCGCGUGUGUGAUGAAGGCUUUCGGGUCGUAAAGCACUGUUGUAUGGGAAGAACAGCUAGAAUAGGAAAUGAUUUUAGUUUGACGGUACCAUACCAGAAAGGGACGGCUAAAUACGUGCCAGCAGCCGCGGUAAUACGUAUGUCCCGAGCGUUAUCCGGAUUUAUUGGGCGUAAAGCGAGCGCAGACGGUUUAUUAAGUCUGAUGUGAAAGCCCGGAGCUCAACUCCGGAAUGGCAUUGGAAACUGGUUAACUUGAGUGCAGUAGAGGUAAGUGGAACUCCAUGUGUAGCGGUGGAAUGCGUAGAUAUAUGGAAGAACACCAGUGGCGAAGGCGGCUUACUGGACUGCAACUGACGUUGAGGCUCGAAAGUGUGGGUAGCAAACAGGAUUAGAUACCCUGGUAGUCCACACCGUAAACGAUGAACACUAGGUGUUAGGAGGUUUCCGCCUCUUAGUGCCGAAGCUAACGCAUUAAGUGUUCCGCCUGGGGGAGUACGACCGCAAGGUUGAAACUCAAAGGAAUUGACGGGGACCCGCACAAGCGGGUGGGAGCAUGUGGUUUUAAUUCGAAGCAACGCAGAAGACUC